GAUGAAGAACGUAGCGAAAUGCGAUAAGUAAUGUGAAUUGCAGAAUUCAGUGAAUCAUCGAGUCUUUGAACGCACAUUGCGCCCCCUGGUAUUCCGGGGGGCAUGCCUGUCCGAGCGUCAUUGCCGCCCUCAAGCACGGCUUGUGUGUUGGGCCCCCGCCCCCCGGCUUCGGGGGGCGGGCCCGAAAGGCAGCGGCGGCACCGCGUCCGGUCCUCGAGCGUAUGGGGCUUCGUCACCCGCUCUGUAGGCCCGGCCGGCGCCCGCCGGCGACCCCUAUCAAUCUUUCCAGGUUGACCUCGGAUCAGGUAGGGAUACCCGCUGAACUUAAGCAUAUCAAUAAGCGGAGGA
rnacentral:misc_RNA from 1 species